GGCCUUAGCUCAGUCGGUCAGAGCAGCGCUCUUAUAAGGCGUUGGUCCCGGGUUCAAGUCCCGGAGGCC
rnacentral:tRNA from 1 species